UAAAUACUCCAUCUGUUCCGAAUUACUUAUCACGGAAAUGGAUAAAAAUGAAUGUAUUUACAACUAAAAUAAUCUAGAUACAUCCAUUUUUACGAUAAGUAAUUCGGGACGGAUGGAGUAAUUC
rfam:Triticum aestivum genome assembly, contig: Triticum_aestivum_CS42_TGACv1_scaffold_404565_5BL